rnacentral:rRNA from 1 species
AUUGAACGCUGGCGGCAGGCCUAACACAUGCAAGUCGAACGGAGCGGCGGACGGGGGAGUACUGCCUAGGAAUCUGCCUGGUAGUGGGGGAUAACGUCCGGAAACGGGCGCUAAUAACGCAUACUCUCAGAUGAGCCUAGGUCGGAUUAGCUAGUUGGUGGGGUAGAGGCCUACCAAGGCGACGAUCCGGAACUGGUCUGAGAGGAUGAUCAGUAAAACUGGAACUGAGACACGGCCCAGACUCCGACGGGAGGCAGCAGUGGGGAAUAUUGGGCAAUGGGCGAAAGCCUGAUCGAGCAAUGCCGCGUGUGUGAAGAAGGUCUUCGGAUUGUAAAGCUCUGUAAGUUGUGAGGCGUUACCUACCGAAUAAGCACCGGCUAACUUCGUGCCAGCAGCCGCGGUAAUAC